AAGAAAUGUGGCAUGCCCGUUGUGAUUACUCUGAUGAUUGAUGUAUUAUUAUUAUUUUAAUUGAUUUUGGGAAACGGGGUGUUACACUUGG
rfam:Medicago truncatula strain A17 unplaced genomic scaffold scaffold0873, whole genome shotgun sequence.